rnacentral:rRNA from 1 species
UGGGGAAUAUUGGACAAUGGGCGCAAGCCUGAUCCAGCCAUGCCGCGUGAGUGAUGAAGGCCCUAGGGUUGUAAAGCUCUUUCACCGGUGAAGAUAAUGACGGUAACCGGAGAAGAAGCCCCGGCUAACUUCGUGCCAGCAGCCGCGGUAAUACGAAGGGGGCUAGCGUUGUUCGGAUUUACUGGGCGUAAAGCGCACGUAGGCGGACUAUUAAGUCAGGGGUGAAAUCCCGGGGCUCAACCCCGGAACUGCCUUUGAUACUGGUAGUCUUAAGUUCGAGAGAGGUGAGUGGAAUUCCGGGUGUAGAGGUGAAAUUCGUAGAUAUUCGGGGGAACACCAGUGGCGAAGGCGGCUCACUGGCUCGAUACUGACGCUGAGGUGCGAAAGCGUGGGGAGCAAACAGG